UUUUUUUUAGGCGAAUACACCAUUUUAGCUGAAACGGCUGGCAUUACAGGUAUUGGAACAUUUGAAACAUUGUCAAGAAUCCUAAUAAAAUUCUCAUUAUUCCUACUCCAAAUUCUCUCAUUUCUGCUCUUUCUUUCUAUUCUUCUGUUUCUUUUUUCUUUUCUUUCUAAAUCCUGUUAGGGCUUCAAAACCCUAACAAAUUGCUGCCAUAAAUAAUGGACAGCUUUGAAAGUAAAAUUGAG
rnacentral:misc_RNA from 1 species